rnacentral:rRNA from 1 species
GACGAACCGCCCGAACGUUGUUCGGAAUCACUGGGCUUAAAGGGAGCGUAGGCGGGCUGCCAAGUCCGGGGUGAAAUCCUCCAGCUUAACUGGAGAACUGCCUCGGAUACUGGAAGUCUCGAGGAGGGUAGGGGCAAGUGGAACCGUGGGUGGAGCGGUGAAAUGCGUUGAUAUCCAUGGGAACUCCGGUGGCGAAGGCGACUUGCUGGACCCUUUCUGACGCUGAGGCUCGAAAGCCAGGGGAGCAAACGGG